rnacentral:RNase_P_RNA from 1 species
UCAGGGGGCCGGGCAACUGCGUAUGGGGUGACCCAUCCGAGGAAAGUCCGGGCUCCACGAAAUAAGGGUGGCGGGUAACGCCCGCCGGGCUUCGAUCCUUACGGGGUAAGAGGUUUAGGGAUAGUGCCACAGAGAGCAAACCGCCUGUGCGUUUCGGAAGGAGCACGCGUUCCUUUUGGAAAACGGCAGGUAAGGGUGAAAGGGUGCGGUAAGAGCGCACCGCGCGAUUGGUAACAAUCGCGGCAUGGUAAACCCCACCCGGAGCAAGGCCAAAUAGGGGCGGCGCGCCGAGGGCUUCGGUCCAAGGCAGGUCUAUUUCGGACCGUGAUCGCCCGGGUUGGCUGCUUGAGCUGCGGAGCAAUCCGUAGCCUAGAGGAAUGGUUGCCCUUGGCGGGCAGGUCCCUUGCGGAUACCGCCGCUGAGACAGAACCCGGCUUAUAGGCCCCCUGACGUU